CCUGACCCUGACCCUAGGGAUGCUCCCCAGGAGCCAGGGGAGGGAACCCACAGCGCUGCACAGCACCCCCUGAUCCCAGCCAGCAGCGAGGGGAGCAGAGCGGCUCCAAGGCACGAGAGGGGCUGAGCUGAGAGCCAGGACGUCAAACAGGGCUUGGAGAAUGAGGCCCUUCUGGGCCGACAGCUGAGUGGAUCUCGCCUCCAGCUCCUGCCUCUUCUCCAUCUGAACCCGAGAGUUCCUGAAGGCAAAGGCAAAGCGAGCCUUGAGCACUGCUCACAGAGCUCAGAGCUGCAGAGGCUCCCCGGUGCCAGGCAUGGGCCAAAGGCCCCUUCUGCCCCCGCGCUGCCGCCUUCAGCCCGAGCCGGGCGCUGGGAAGAUGCUUCCGCACCGAAGCCCACCCUGCUGCCCAGGCGACCCCC